CUGGCUCCUUCGGGGUCCGCAUUGUAAUUUGCAGAGGAUGCUUCGGGUGCAGCCCCCGUCUAAGUGCCCUGGAACGGGCCGUCAUAGAGGGUGAGAAUCCCGUAUGGGGCGGGGUGUCUGCGUCCGUGUGAAGCUCCUUCGACGAGUCGAGUUGUUUGGGAAUGCAGCUCUAAAUGGGUGGUAAAUUUCAUCUAAAGCUAAAUACUGGCCGGAGACCGAUAGCGCACAAGUAGAGUGAUCGAAAGAUGAAAAGCACUUUGAAAAGAGAGUUAAACAGCACGUGAAAUUGUUGAAAGGGAAGCGCUUGCAACCAGACUCGCUCGCGGGGUUCAGCCGGGCUUCGGCCCGGUGUACUUCCCCGCGGGCGGGCCAGCGUCGGUUUGGGCGGCCGGUCAAAGGCCUCCGGAAUGUAGCGCCCUUCGGGGCGCCUUAUAGCCGGGGGUGCAAUGCGGCCAGCCUGGACCGAGGAACGCGCUUCGGCACGGACGCUGGCAUAAUGGUUGUAAACGACCCGUCUUGAAACACGGACCAAGGAGUCUAACAUCUACGCGAGUGUUCGGGUGUCAAACCCGUACGCGCAGUGAAAGCGAACGGAGGUGGGAGCCCCCUCGCGGGGCGCACCAUCGACCGAUCCUGAUGUCUUCGGAUGGAUUUGAGUACGAGCGUAGCUGUGGGGACCCGAAAGAUGGUGAACUAUGCCUGAAUAGGGGCGAAGCCAGA
rnacentral:rRNA from 1 species